rnacentral:ncRNA from 1 species
ACGGAGUAAGCUGAAAAUCCGGUAAAGAGUAGGCA